rnacentral:rRNA from 1 species
AACGAACGCUGGCGGCAUGCCUAACACAUGCAAGUCGAACGAGACCUUCGGGUCUAGUGGCGCACGGGUUCGUAACGCGUGGGAACCUUCCCUUAUGGUCGGAAUACCUCCCCGACAGGGGUGCUAAUACCGGAUAAUGUCUUCGAACCAAAGAUUUAUCGCCUUUGGAUGGGCCCGCGUUGCAUUAGCUUGUUGGUAGGGUAAAAGCCUACCAAGGCGACGAUCCAUAGCUGGUCUGAGAGGAUGAUCAGCCACACUGGGACUGAGACACGGCCCAGAAUCUUCCGGGAGGCAGCAGUGGGGAAUAGUGGACAAUGGGCGAAAGGCUGAUCCAGCACUGCCGCGUGAGUGAUGAAGGCCUUAGGGUUGUAAAGCUCUUUUAACCGGGAUGAUAAUGACAGUACCGGGAGAAUAAGCUCCGGCUAACUCCGUG